GGCAAGAUGGCCGAGCGGUUAAGGCGUCAGGUUAAGGUUCACCUUAGCAUAACAAGUUUAUAUCCUGAUCUCCGAAAGGGGGCCUGGGUUCGAGUCCCAGUCUUGUCA